CAGCAGCCGCGGUAAUACGUAGGGUGCAAGCGUUAAUCGGAUUGAUUGGGUGUAAAGGGUGUGCAGACGGCCUAUUAAGUCACUUGUUAAAUUCUUCGGCCUAACUGAAGGUCUGCAAGUGAUACUGAUGAGCUAGAGGGUGGAAGAGAGAAGUGGAAUUCUCGGAGUAGCGGUAAAAUGCGUAGAUCUCGAGAGGAACACCAAUGGCGAAGGCAGCUUCUUGGUCCAUUCCUGACGUUCAUACACGAAAGCGUGGGGAGCAAACAGGAUUAGAUACCCCCGUAGUCCCUGUCUCUUAUAC
rnacentral:rRNA from 1 species